rnacentral:rRNA from 1 species
GGGUUGUGAGGUUAAGCGACUAAGCGUACACGGUGGAUGCCCUGGCAGUCAGAGGCGAUGAAGGACGUGCUAAUCUGCGAUAAGCGUCGGUAAGGUGAUAUGAACCGUUAUAACCGGCGAUUUCCGAAUGGGGAAACCCAGUGUGAUUCGUCACACUAUCAUUAACUGAAUCCAUAGGUUAAUGAGGCGAACCGGGGGAACUGAAACAUCUAAGUACCCCGAGGAAAAGAAAUCAACCGAGAUUCCCCCAGUAGCGGCGAGCGAACGGGGAGGAGCCCAGAGCCUGAAUCAGUGUGUGUGUUAGUGGAAGCGUCUGGAAAGGCGCGCGAUACAGGGUGACAGCCCCGUACACAAAAAUGCACAUGCUGUGAGCUCGAUGAGUAGGGCGGGACACGUGGUAUCCUGUCUGAAUAUGGGGGGACCAUCCUCCAAGGCUAAAUACUCCUGACUGACCGAUAGUGAACCAGUACCGUGAGGGAAAGGCGAAAAGAACCCCGGCGAGGGGAGUGAAAAAGAACCUGAAACCGUGUACGUACAAGCAGUGGGAGCCUCUUAAUGGGGUGACUGCGUACCUUUUGUAUAAUGGGUCAGCGACUUAUAUUCUGUAGCAAGGUUAACCGAAUAGGGGAGCCGAAGGGAAACCGAGUCUUAACUGGGCGUUAAGUUGCAGGGUAUAGACCCGAAACCCGGUGAUCUAGCCAUGGGCAGGUUGAAGGUUGGGUAACACUAACUGGAGGACCGAACCGACUAAUGUUGAAAAAUUAGCGGAUGACUUGUGGCUGGGGGUGAAAGGCCAAUCAAACCGGGAGAUAGCUGGUUCUCCCCGAAAGCUAUUUAGGUAGCGCCUCGUGAAUUCAUCUCCGGGGGUAGAGCACUGUUUCGGCAAGGGGGUCAUCCCGACUUACCAACCCGAUGCAAACUGCGAAUACCGGAGAAUGUUAUCACGGGAGACACACGGCGGGUGCUAACGUCCGUCGUGAAGAGGGAAACAACCCAGACCGCCAGCUAAGGUCCCAAAGUCAUGGUUAAGUGGGAAACGAUGUGGGAAGGCCCAGACAGCCAGGAUGUUGGCUUAGAAGCAGCCAUCAUUUAAAGAAAGCGUAAUAGCUCACUGGUCGAGUCGGCCUGCGCGGAAGAUGUAACGGGGCUAAACCAUGCACCGAAGCUGCGGCAGCGACACUAUGUGUUGUUGGGUAGGGGAGCGUUCUGUAAGCCUGCGAAGGUGUACUGUGAGGUAUGCUGGAGGUAUCAGAAGUGCGAAUGCUGACAUAAGUAACGAUAAAGCGGGUGAAAAGCCCGCUCGCCGGAAGACCAAGGGUUCCUGUCCAACGUUAAUCGGGGCAGGGUGAGUCGACCCCUAAGGCGAGGCCGAAAGGCGUAGUCGAUGGGAAACAGGUUAAUAUUCCUGUACUUGGUGUUACUGCGAAGGGGGGACGGAGAAGGCUAUGUUGGCCGGGCGACGGUUGUCCCGGUUUAAGCGUGUAGGCUGGUUUUCCAGGCAAAUCCGGAAAAUCAAGGCUGAGGCGUGAUGACGAGGCACUACGGUGCUGAAGCAACAAAUGCCCUGCUUCCAGGAAAAGCCUCUAAGCAUCAGGUAACAUCAAAUCGUACCCCAAACCGACACAGGUGGUCAGGUAGAGAAUACCAAGGCGCUUGAGAGAACUCGGGUGAAGGAACUAGGCAAAAUGGUGCCGUAACUUCGGGAGAAGGCACGCUGAUAUGUAGGUGAAGUCCCUCGCGGAUGGAGCUGAAAUCAGUCGAAGAUACCAGCUGGCUGCAACUGUUUAUUAAAAACACAGCACUGUGCAAACACGAAAGUGGACGUAUACGGUGUGACGCCUGCCCGGUGCCGGAAGGUUAAUUGAUGGGGUUAGCGCAAGCGAAGCUCUUGAUCGAAGCCCCGGUAAACGGCGGCCGUAACUAUAACGGUCCUAAGGUAGCGAAAUUCCUUGUCGGGUAAGUUCCGACCUGCACGAAUGGCGUAAUGAUGGCCAGGCUGUCUCCACCCGAGACUCAGUGAAAUUGAACUCGCUGUGAAGAUGCAGUGUACCCGCGGCAAGACGGAAAGACCCCGUGAACCUUUACUAUAGCUUGACACUGAACAUUGAGCCUUGAUGUGUAGGAUAGGUGGGAGGCUUUGAAGUGUGGACGCCAGUCUGCAUGGAGCCGACCUUGAAAUACCACCCUUUAAUGUUUGAUGUUCUAACGUUGGCCCCUGAUCGGGGUUGCGGACAGUGUCUGGUGGGUAGUUUGACUGGGGCGGUCUCCUCCUAAAGAGUAACGGAGGAGCACGAAGGUUGGCUAAUCCUGGUCGGACAUCAGGAGGUUAGUGCAAUGGCAUAAGCCAGCUUGACUGCGAGCGUGACGGCGCGAGCAGGUGCGAAAGCAGGUCAUAGUGAUCCGGUGGUUCUGAAUGGAAGGGCCAUCGCUCAACGGAUAAAAGGUACUCCGGGGAUAACAGGCUGAUACCGCCCAAGAGUUCAUAUCGACGGCGGUGUUUGGCACCUCGAUGUCGGCUCAUCACAUCCUGGGGCUGAAGUAGGUCCCAAGGGUAUGGCUGUUCGCCAUUUAAAGUGGUACGCGAGCUGGGUUUAGAACGUCGUGAGACAGUUCGGUCCCUAUCUGCCGUGGGCGCUGGAGAACUGAGGGGGGCUGCUCCUAGUACGAGAGGACCGGAGUGGACGCAUCACUGGUGUUCGGGUUGUCAUGCCAAUGGCACUGCCCGGUAGCUAAAUGCGGAAGAGAUAAGUGCUGAAAGCAUCUAAGCACGAAACUUGCCCCGAGAUGAGUUCUCCCUGACUCCCUGAGAGUCCUGAAGGAACGUUGAAGACGACGACGUUGAUAGGCCGGGUGUGUAAGCGCAGCGAUGCGUUGAGCUAACCGGUACUAAUGAACCGUGAGGCUUAACCUUACAACGCCGAAG